rnacentral:lncRNA from 1 species
AGUCUGGAGCCAGUGAGCGAGAGAGGGAUGUGCGGCGCGCGGGGCGACGGGGGAGGGAGGCGGUCGGGAGGGCAGGGCCGGGCCCCACGGCUGCCGCUGCGGGCGGGGAGAUCGCGGCCGCGCACUCGCUCGGUCGGAGCGGGGAACUCCCCGGAGAGCUGGUCUCUACUUGUCAUGCAAAAAAACUUGGGCAUCUCUAGGAGCCUGAGAAUUUCCUUUAAGGAUGUGGAAACGUCCUCCGUCCCCACCCCUUCCCCAUUUCCCAGAGAAUCGUUGUCUGCCUUCCUGACGAACGGAAUUGUAUAAUUAGUAGUGCCCUUAGAUUUGGAACCAGUACUCCGGAUCCCUGGCCUCUCCUCGCCCCCUGCCUCUACUCACAAUUAUGUUAUCGGUCAAGAAAAGCAAAAUCAGACUGUGGCUCCCGGCUGGGUUUCUGGAGCUUUGUAGGGUUUUACUAGCACUUUCCGUGCCCCUGCGGGCGCGCGAACUAUUCACGUGCUCGAAACGCCCGGAUUACCUUCCCUGAGGUCACUCACCAGGGUGCCCCCGGCACCCCCAGUUCGGGGACCGCGGCCCGCCCUCGCCAGGGGAUUCAAAUAGGUGUGGGCAGCGGCGCGAAGAGCAGCUGCCGGUUUCCUGGUGGGCCGCGCUGGAACCUCGGGGCGAGCUGCCACCUUCAGCCUGUGCGCUUCCCUCUCCACGGAAGGGACCGGAGUUGAAAUCACAACCAACCCUGGGAGAGCGGGGCCGGGAGGCGGGGGAAUCCCAGGCGAGUGGGAGCCGAAGCUCUGGGCUUCCUCCCCGGCCGGGCGACACCCGGGGGACACCGGGGCUCUCUCGGGCCGUUACCCUGCCUAUGUGGACUGGUGUGCACCCUCGGGGGAGGUUCCUAGGGUGCCACGGUGCCCGAGCGCGACGAGUGACUGCUGGGGAGGGGGGCCGGGUCCCGGAGCGCCUCCUCCGGGUGGUCUCCCCCCCAGCGGGGACCGCGCGCAGCACCUCGCGGGCGCCCCAGCCCCCGCACCCUGCGGAGCAGAGCCGAGCGCCCAGGACGCCGCGGGCCCCAGCGGUCCUCCCCACCCCCUGGCCGCGCCGCCGCCCUGCCCGGGGCGGAGUAAACAAGAGACGCGCAAGAUUUGACCUGGCGCGACCCGGCUUUCUGGCCGGGGUUCCCCCUGAGCAGGUGACUCCGUGGGAGGGGUGGAAAUGAGUCUCUGGAAUUCCGGGCCAAAGACAAUAACUGUGGUUCUGCUUUUAAAGCAGGUAUUUCACCAGCAACUGCGGAAUGUUUUGUGUCUCCAGUUUCAAAUUUCGCGGAAAGGGACCAAAUGUGAGGACAUAUAAAAUAUCCCCUUCUCUUUUCAUUAAAAAUGAGUGCAUUACAAAGGAAGGGCAGCCCCUUAAUGCCUGCGAGAAUAGCGCUGCUGGUUUCGUUUUUGUUUUGUUUUGUUUUGUUUUUCAUUCUGACCCACAAUCAGUGUAUUUUUGAGGUCCCUAUGCAAUGGCGACGGUGCCGUGAAGGGCAACUCAGCAAAAUAAAGCGGUGAUACAUUUUUUAACCGAUUUUUUUCUCAGAGGAGAAAAAUCUGAACAAUUUGGCCUAAGUUUCACUUUGUCCUUCUCUUAGGUUGAUCUCAUUUAAAUUCAGGGCCUACUUCCACUUAAGCAACUUCUUCUUUCAUUGUAUAGGUUCUUUAAUAUCCAACCUUUUUAAACUUAACUUGAAGCCUUUAAUUUAAAAAACUGUCCCAAUCAUCAUUUUCUUUUCAAUGUAUGCAGUUGCAUUUUAAACAUCCAUUUAACACACAAAAUGUGAUUUUUGAAAUUUUUUUCACUUUCAAACCCACCUGCUACAUACUCCCAGAGAGCGUUUUAUUUAAUUGCUUAAUAGAGAAGAUUAAGCAGUUUCUUUAAGAAUCCAAUUUCCCUUCAACAAGCACAACAGCAGCUGCCCAAGCUCCCAGAAACUAAGCAAAGGCAAGUAGCAGGCAGCGUUUUGCUUCACUAGAAUGAAUGUUAGUUGAAACCUUAAAUACCUCUUUAAAAGACUAGAUUAAAGAGAAUAAUGGGAAUAUUAAGAUACUCCGGUAGUUAGUUAAAAUAUUUUUUAAGGAAAACCAGGCAGAUAUACAUCUAUUUUGAUGAUUUGAUCCCACCUUCAAAGAGGAUCCCUGAAAAGAGUUUUAGUCACAAUUUGACAAAUUUUAAAUAAUUACUUUGUUUCAGAGUCAUGAGGAUGGAAAGAAGAUAGCCUGCGUUGAGUUGAAGUAAAGUAAAAAUAUUAUGAAUAUGUGUAACUAGGUGACAUCCUCUCUGCUGGGAAGAAUCCUUUUUUUUUUUUUUUUUUUUUUUCUGGUGACAGGUUCUUGCUCCAUCACCCAGGCUGGAGUGCAGUGGCAUGAUCUUGGCUCACUGCAGCCUCUCCCUUUCAGGCUCAAGCAAUCCUCCCACCUCAGCCUCCCGAGUGGAGGGGGAGCCACUGCAGAUCUGGAGCAAAUCAGCACCAGCCACUCCAGAGCCUGACCUACAUAGGACUCAGAAAGCAUUGUCUAUUGUGAUUGAUUAUUCCUGUGUUCAGUCCCAAUGGCCUAUUGAUUGGGGGUUUCUCUCCAAAAGGCUGCAUGGCUUUUCUUCUCUAAGUGAAUCUCCUUUAUAACCCAUAUUUUAUGUCUAUAUACCAAACAUGCUAUCCAUAUUUAGUCAAUGUCCAGUUGCUUGCAUGUAAGGGCAAUAGAGUAAUCAGAAAACUCUUCCCAGAAAGCCCCCGAAGACAAAACUAGUACUGGUAGAAAACUGGGCAUGCAGCUCUAAGAAACUCUAUGGGAAGUGAGGCUGGGUGGGGCACAGCUGCCCCAGCCUGGCACCCAUAUGGAGCAUCAGCAAGGAAGUAGGAACUUUCUUUUCAUCAUGCAUCCUUCUUAUCACUUCUCAGUUUCAAAGGGAAAGAAAAUUUGGUAAUCUGCAUUUUGAGACAUUAAGAAAAUAAAAUAAUUAAUGGCUUCAUGGUUAUAUGGCAUUUUUCAGAGUAUUGUCAGAAAAUCAUUUCGAACUGAAAUUUUCAUUCAAAAAUAUUUAUUGAAUGCCGGCUAUGUGCUGAAGAUUCUUAAGAUACAUCAGUGAACAAAUCAAAGUUCCCUGCUUUCUUGGAGCUUGCAUUCCAGCGGGAGGAGAGGAUUUGGAGGAAGAAUGGGAUAGACAAUAAAUGUAAGUAAUAAAUUAUAUAGGACUUUGAAAGGUAAAAUGUUUGGGGGAAAAACAUAAAAUAGGGUAAAGGAUAUAGGUGGGGUGAGGGUUGUCCUGAUGCUGUAUUAAAUAGGAACAUCAGAGUAAGACUUGUUGAAAAGGGAGAUUUCUGCCAUGGUUUGAAGGAAAUACCUGGAGAUAUCUGGAGGACAGAGCUUUUCACAUGGAGGGAACAGCCAAGAUACAGCUCCAAUACCUGGAAUUUUUAUAGACAUCAAUGGGAAUGGUGUGGCUAGAAUAAAAUGAGACAGCCAGUGAACAGAAGGCCUCUCAGGUCACCGUAAGAAUUCCAGAAAAGCUUCAUAAAAGGCAAAUUUUGGGCCUUUAUCACUCAGCCCCAUGGAAUCUGAAUCUUUGUGGGCCCAGGACUCUGCAUUUUUAACAUGUAAAGCAAUUGUUACUUAUGUAUUCUAAAGCACAAGACCUCCUGCCACAGAGCAUGGGACCUGAUAUAUCCAGGCAGGAGAACUGGGUACCAGGAGACACUGUACAUGAAGUUUCCAGAACCAGCCAUGUCCAUCUUACUAAUCAAGACUCUCUCUGUUAAAUCUGCAACUCAAAUGACUUUAAGGAAAAAUGGAUUUCAUUGAUUCACAUAACCAUCACUCAAGGACUAACUUUCAACAUAGUGAGAUCCUGAGGCUCAAAUAUUAUUACCCGGGUUCCAUGAACUGCUUCCUCUGACAUGAGAUCUAACAAGGCUAAAGACUAAAAUGCAGCUGUUUACAGCGUAAGUAGGAGGCCGUCCCGUGCAGUGCAAAAUCAACAGAGAGGAGACAGUCCUAUGCCUUCGAGAGACAGUCUGCUGAUACUGUCAUGAUGUCUAGUGACAGGCCAGAGAUCAAAACCCAACACCCUCAUUUACCUGACAGUGAUUUGGCCAAUCCCUUAACAUCUCUAAGAGCUUCAUUUUUCUACAAAAUUGAGACAAUAGUAUUUGUUUCAUAGUGUUACUGUCAGGGUUAAAUGUUAUACAUUAAGCAUUUAAUAUAUGCUGCUUGUUUAUCUAAAUAUUCAUGGUCAGGCACUAACUUCUUAUGUGACUCUGAGCAAUGCAUUCAUCUCUGUACCUGUUUCCUCAUCCAUAAAUUGGGAGUUGAACAAGGUGAGCCCUAAGUUUCGUUCCAACUUCAAUAUUCUAUAAUUCUUGCAACUUAUAUGGCCUCAGUUUUCUUAUCUUUAUAAUGGGCAUAAGAGUACCUACCUCACAGAAUUUUUGAGAGGAUAAAAUGAAUUAAGACAGGUAGAAAAUUCUUAGAACAGUGCCUGCCACAUUGGAAGUGCUUAAUAUGUAUUAGCUGUGAUGAUGCUGCUAAUGAUGAAGAUGAUAAUGACCCUAUUUGCAGAUAGUAUGGCAGCCAUAAAACAUUCAGUAUCAGAUUGAUUACAUUCUCUUAUUUUCUGAGUCAAUGCCAGAGCUACCAAGAUUUUAUUCUUUAAAGGUUCUUCAAGACUAAAUUCUUUUUACAUGAUAUGAUUAUUACACAUUGUAUGUCCGUAUCAGACCAGCCUGGCCAACAAGGUGAAACCCCAUCUCUAAAAAUACAAAAAUUAGCAGGGCAUGGUGGCACGCACCUGUAGUCCCAGCUACUCGGGAGGCUGAGGCAGGAGAAUCACUUGAACCCGGGAGGCAGAGAUUGCAGUGAGCUGAGAUCGUGCCACUGCACUCCAGCCUGGCAGAGUGAGACUCCAUCUUAAAAAAUAAAUAAAUAAAUAAAUAAAUAAAUCUCAUGUACUCCAUAGAUAUGGGGUACCUACUAUGUACUCACAAAAAUUAAUUUUUUUUUAGAAAAGCCUAAGCUCAUUUGCUUCUUAGUAAGAAUUAUGUUAAGAUUUCCCAGUGUAGAUACCCUAGGCUGCUAAUUUUUUUUCUUUUGUUAUCAGUAUCUUAAGAAAUUAAUUGGCCCGGGAGUGGUGGCUCAUGCCUGUAAUCCCUGCAGUUUGGAAGGCCAAGAUGGGAGGAUUGUUUGAGGCCAAGAGUUCAAAACCAGCCUGGGCAACAUAGUGAGAUACUAUCUGUAUAUAAAAUAAAAAAAUUAGUGAGGCAUGGUGUCAUAAGCCUGUGGUCCCAGCUACUUGGGAGGCUGAGGUGAGAGGAUUGCUUGAGCCCAGGAGGUCAAGGCUGCAGUGAGCUGUGAUGGUGACACUGCACUCCAGCCUGGGCUAUAGAGCAAGACCCUGUCACCCUCCUCAAAAAAAAAAAAAAAAAGCAAUUAAUUGAUUUAUUUAUGGCCAUUCUCUCUUUUUGUGAGCUGGAUAUGUGUUCACUUUCAUUCUAAAAACGUACAGCCCCCAAAGCCCACACAUGUUGUCAAAGCUCACUACAUUUACCUAGAGAGUUUCCUGUAGUCUCCUCUUUCAAGUAUUUUAAAUAAUGCGUAAUUUCUUCAUGUAACUGAAACAUGUUAAUGUUGAGUUGGCACAGGAAGAAAAGUUUUGAUUUACUCAGAACUGGGAUUUGUGUGGGUCAUUUCCUAGUCCUCCUAAGUAUUUAACAAAUGUAAAAUGUAACACACAAUUAAAUAAGCUACCCAAGCCAAAUGAACUGGUGAGUGCAUUAUAAAUAGCAACCAAAAUUAUUCUUCAGUUGUUAACUGGUAUGUCCUGAUUUAAUAAUGAAUUACAUCAUUUGACAAAUGAGAUAAGACUUCCACCUUUAGCUUUCUGAUCCAAACUUCUAAUAGUUGAAAUGUAUUAUUACCAUCUGGUGUCUGGCCUCUGAAAUGCCCUGGCGAUAUCUGCCUCAUUUCAAGUAGUUGGGGCUUGCAUAUGCCAGCAAAGCACUCUCCGAAGUGUCUUGAUUGGCAGGCCCAGAGAGAAGGCUAAGAACCGAAUGAACCAUGGAGAUAUAGCUCCAGCUCUGUAGAAGUUUCCUCUGGUUCAAGGCAGACUCAUUUUCUUAGUUUGUGCAGCAAAAAAAUUGUCAUGAUCGAAGUUGUUUUUAUUUUGGAUCUCAAUCCUGAAGGAUGCAAUUCCUAUACUUACCAAGAAUGUUUCCAUCUGUUUUAAAUUAUUUCACUCCUUUUACAAACUGGCAAUAAUUUUAACACCUUUUAUUUUCAGUGAAAAUAAUUCGAGAAUGAAGCUGAGAAUGAUACAUAAGCCUAGAGUUUUAACUCAGUGAAGUAAUAUGAUUCUGACAGUUCUUUAUUUUUUCCACAUUGUGUUAGAUUCCUAGUAAAAAGGGAAGAUGAAUCUUAUUGCUUUCAAAAACCUGACAAUAUGGUAUGUAGGACAGAAUGAACAUACAUAGAACAAUAUCCAAUAACACAGAUGAAGGUGUCAAAGCCAUUGCCAGACAGAGUGGUGCAGAUUGUGAGAUCAGUUUUCUUGGUAAGUGUUAUGGACUGAAUGUUGGUAUUCUCUAACAUUCAUAGAUUAUAAUCUAAUCCCCAAUGUGAUGGUAGCACUAUCUGGGGGUGAGACCUUUGGGAAGUAAAGGUCUUUUUCUCUCCACACCUGACCAAAAGUAGGAGCUCAACAAAUGUAUGUGCACUGAAAUGGAAUGGGGGCAAACAGCCUGGUGGUAUAGUACAAAGCAAAAUUUGGUUAUGGUAGGAGCAGUACAGAUACAUCUGGAUCACAAUCUAAAUUCUCUCCAGGGACCAAAUACAUAGAUUUACCCCUUGGGUUAUUGGUCUGGUAGACUCUUAAUUUUUAAUAGGGUUUAUAUAAUCUAGACUUCUUAUAACCUCUGCCCCACUGGAUAUAGGUAUUACUCAGUUGAAGUUAAAAAUUGAAUAUAGGAUUAUAUGCAAUGCUUUAUCUAUAACUUUCUUGUAAGGAUAAACUCAGUACAUCUCUGGUUUUCUAAUAUUUUGGAGGAAAUGUUACAAAUAGGUAAGGAAAGUUUGAGCCUCAUUUACGCAUGAGGGUGGACCCCUCCUGAAUGAGAUUAAUGUCCUUAUAAGAAAAGGCCAGAGAGCUAGCUCACUCUCUUUCAGCAUGUGAGGACACAAGAAGCCCAGAGUCUGCAACCUGAAAGAGGGCCCUCACUAGAACCCAAUCAUGCUGACGCUGUGAUCUUGGACUUUCAGGCUCCAGAACUGUGAGAAAUAAAUUUCUGUUGUUUAUAAGCCAUCCAUUUCAUGACAAUUUGUUAUAGUGGCCUGAACAAAGACAAUAGGUAUAAAAGAGAAUUGAUAAAGAUGAAAUUUAGGAAUACAAUUAGAAGUGAAAUGCAAAUAACAAGAGGGUGACCCCGGAGUAGAAAAGUGUCUGUGUCUGGUAGAUUUGAAUAGUUUACAAAUGCCAAGCCUGUGCAAAAUAGGAGUUACCAAUAUUAAUGGCUGCAUCAUUACAAGGUGUAUCCAAAAGACACUUAAGAUUAAGUCUGUGUUUGUCAGUGGGGAGGUGAGAGUAGGAAAUGUUAAAUAACCUGCCCUUUGUCACUCAGCCAACAAGUAAGAGAGCAGGGAAUCAAGUUCAGAUCUAAGUCCUCUAAAGUUAUUCCCCAAACUCCUCACAGCUUCACUUAAUAACCAUUUCCUGCUUUGGUUGACUUUACAAAGAUGACCAUACAUUUGAGAGCAAAAGGGGAAGCUAUGAAUCAUUACAUCUGGACAAAUGGCAUGAAUCAAGAUCAUCCACUGCCAACUAGAGUGUAUGUUCAUCUUCUGUCUAUAUAUCUUCAUUCCCAGACAUCUACCAGACAUCCAGUGACUUAUCUGAGAAGUACACUUGGAGGUCAGUUUCUUGGAGUAAAUUGAUCAAAGUGUUAAAAUUCUGGAAAGUUAUUGUAUUUUAAAAUAGUUCACACAAAAAAAUAGUACAAUGAAAUGAAUCACUAUUAGUGGAAUUUCAGGCCCUCAGGUACCUGAUAAUAAGAACUCUUUCAAAACAACAUAACUUUCCUGGUACCUGUCAAAUCACAAUUUCUAUAUGAGAUAUGGCCAGCUGGGUAUUCAAGGAUAAUUGGUCAGCUACUGUGAUGAUUAAUAUGGAGUGUCAACUUGUUUGCAUUGAAGGAUGCAAAGUAUUGUUCCUGGGUUUGUCUGUGAGGGUUGUAUUAGUCUGUUUUCAUGACACUGAUAAAGACAUAUCUGAGACUGGGCAAUUUACAAAAGAAAGAGGUUUAUUGGACUUUCAGUUCCACAUGGCUGGGGAGGCCUCACAAUCAUGGUGGAAGGUGAAAAGCACAUCUCACAUGGCGGCAGACAAAAGCAGAGAGCUUGUGCAGGGAAACUCUCAUUUUGAAAACCAUCAUAUCUCAUGACACUUAUUCACUAUCAUGAGAACAUCAUGGGAAAGACCUGCUCCCAUGAUUCAAUUACCUCCCACUGGGUCACUCCUACAACACGUGGGAAUUCAAGAUAACAUUUGGGUGAGGAUACAGCCAAAUCAUAUCAAGGGUGCUGCCAAAGGAGAUUAACAUUUGAGUCAGUAGACUGGAAGAGGCAGACCCACCCUCAAUCUGAGUGGUUACCAUCUAAGCAUCUGCCAAUGCAGCUAGAAUAAAGCAAGCAGAAGAAAGUGGAAUGAGAAGACUUGCUGAGUCUUCUGGUCAUCAUCUUUUCCCCAUGCUGGAUGCUUCUUGCCCUUGAACAUCAGACUCCAAGUUCUUCAGCUUUCAGACUCUUGGACUUAGAGCAGUGGUUUGCUAGGGGCCCUCAGGCCUUCAGCCACAGACUGAAGCCUGCACUGUCGACUUCCCUACUUUUGAGGUUUUGGUACUUGGAUUGGCUUCCUUGCUCCUCAGCUUACAGCUGGCCUAUUAUGGGACUUCACCCUGUGAUCGUGAGUCAAUUAUCCUAAUAAACUCCCCUUCAUAUAUACAUAUAUAUUAUUAGUUCUUACCUCUAGCGAACCCUGACUAAUACAGAUUUCUAGAUGUACAGAUGGAUUGAGAGGCAAACACUCUAAAUUAACAAGGCAGAAAUGAAAGAGCUGUUCUGCCCAAGAUCUUCAGCACUGCUCAGACCUCUAUAAGAAUUUCUUAUCCAGUUCAAAACUUAUCAACUUAAGAAAAAUAUAGAAAAUUUGUAAAGCAUUCAGAAGAAACUAAAGACUAAAGCAAAAUGAUAUGUUCAAAUACUUAACACUGCCAAAAUGUAAUGCAUUUCAAUAAAGUGAUAUAUGUCCUUAACUCACACAAAUUAAUAAAUGUCUAAUAGACAUACAUAUGGGAAGUGAAUAUCAAAUGCCUGUGUACUAUUUGUAUAAAAUCUAAGUUAAAACUCAUUUCCAUCCCAAAGAUGUGUGAUAUGUAAAAUAAUAUUCUACGUAUUUUGUUUAAUUUUGGGGGGUCAUUUAAGAUUUUUUUAUUUGCAGAAAAAAGAUGCUACAAACAAAAUUAAUGGGAAAAAACAAAAAUUAGUACCAAAAGAGGAAACGAGGACAAGGAAAAACACGAGCACAUAGAAAAAUGUAAAAAUACUCAAGCCAGGCUCAGAGAACCAGCAUCCCUGACAGCAAGUGUUGUUAAACAUCCACGUGGGUUGCUAAGGAAGGUUAGGGAAUCUCCCUUUCCCAGAAGUCUUUAAAAAUAGGAUAACAUCUGUUUGGAUGGGAUAAUGGUGGUACUGCUUGACUUGGCAGCUUCUUAAGCAAACCUAUGGUUUGGUAAUUCUACCAUUUCUAUUUCUGAUUUGAAAAGUAACAAAUAACUUCAGUUCACCUAGAAAAUUGGGCCUUAUAAUGACUUGUAAUAUUGUCUUAUAAAACUAUUUUCAUUGUCAUUAAUAGUGCAAAGGUAGAUAAUUGAGGUUUUCAGAGUAUACUUGAAUUUGCAGCCAAGGCUCAAACUUUCCUUAUCUAUUUGUAACAUUUCCUCCAAAAUAUUAGAAAACCAGAGAUGUACUGAGUUUAUCCUUACAAGAAAGUUAUAGAUAAAGCAUUGCACAUAAUCCUAUAUUCAAUUUUUAACUUCAACUGAGUAAUGCCUGUAUUCAGUGGGGCAGAGCUUAUAAGAAGUCUAGAUUAUAUAAACCCUAUUAAAAAUUGGAGUCUGCCAGACCAAUAACCCAAGGGGUAAAACAUAUAUAUUUGGUCCCUGGAGAGAAUUUAGACUGUGAUCCAGAUGUAUCUGUACUCCUCUUACCAUAACCAAAUUUUGCUUUCUACUAUACUACCAGACUGUUUGCCCCCAUUCCUUUUCACUGCACAUAUAUUUGUUGAGCUCCUACUUUUGGUCAGGUGUGGAGAGAAAAAGCCCACAGUCCCUGCCCUUGAGGAACACAUAAUCCAAAAAAAAAUGCAUGGGUGGCUCCAGGUGUUGUAGGGUCUUAGGCAAGUAUAAUUUUGGACAUGCAUUUUAAGAAAAAGAAUACAAAAUUACAAAUGCAGAAUUACUAAUAAAAGUGAAUAUUUAUUGUAUAGAGAAAAUUAAUCACAACAAAUUACAAGUUUUAGCAUUCUCACAAAUGCCAGAAAUACCACAAAAUCUCAGAAAAAAACCUAUAUUUUGUAUUAAUUAGCUGACUGAUCACAUGUAUAAUUCUACGUGUUCUACUUUUGGUUGCAUAUUGUUGACCACAUGAGAAAAAUUUCUUUAUUUACUUAUUCAGAUGGAGUUUCGCUCUGUCGCCCAGGCUGGAGUGCAGUGGCGCUAUCUCAUCUCACUGCAACCACUGCCUCCCAGGUUCAAGCGAUUCUCCUGCCUCAGCCUCCCGAGUAGCUGGGACUACAGGGGCAUGCCACCAGGCCCAGCUAAUUUUUGUAUUUUUAGUAGAGACGGGGUUUCACCAUGUUGGCCAGGAUGGUCUCAAUCUCUUGACCGCAUGAUCCACCCGCCUCGGCCUACAAAAGUGCUGGGAUUACAGGCGAGAGCCACCACGCCAGGCCAAGAAUUGUUUAUAUUAUUUUCUAUACAGAGAAAACAGUGAUAAUUUAUUCAGUCAUUCCUUUGGCAUGAUUGAAAUUUGUUUUCUUUCUGGCUCACAACUCUUUAAUAAUUAUAAGUAAGUUUUCAGGAUUGUUGUCAAGUACAGGAAAACUUCAGUCAAAUUUCUUUCAUAUAUGAACUGCAAGAGCUAUAAGAUUUCAGGGCAUUGAUAAUUUUCUUGCAUGUAAGUAAUUUUAAAUACUCUUUCAAUUGAUGUUACUCAUUAACCAGCUUGUCACUGGUGUCCUUGUUGUAAUGGUGUAGUGUGAGUUCAAUUUUAUCUCUGUCAAUGUCAGGAUUGUGUAUCAAAUUUGAAAGAAAUUUAAGUAUUUUCUCAAAGAGUUCAUGUGAUUCAGUCCUCUGGGUUAAAUGUGUUAUCAAAAACUAAAAAGCCCAUUCAGUACUUCCCUCUUCCUGUUAAUGAAUUAUUGCUCUUUGUAUUAUCUAAAAAUAUUUCUGUUACAAUUUACUUCUUGAUGUCAAAGUGAUUUCUAUUUGACUUUAUCUCUCAAUUGUUUUUUCAUAUCCUAUCAAAUUUCAUCUGCAUUUUCUCCCAGUUUCUUAUUACAUUAAUUCAUAGAUGACAAAAGAGUUACUCUUCAUAUAUGCCCAUAUUAGGAGUCAUUGAUUUCUGUGGGUUUUUAAUUGAAAAGAUCCAAAACAUCUAUGCAAAUUCCAGUUAAAAUGAAGUAUUUAUGUCUUAUUAAUUUUUUGAAUAAUCUGUUCACUUCUUGUUUUUGUUACUCUUCCAUGACUUUAAAAAUAUAUUUCAGGGUCAUUAAAUUGCACUGUACAAUGUUUUAAGACUUGAGAAGCUUUAGUGUGGGCAAACCAAACCAUGUUGUUACCUUUAGACUCUUAAAAGAAAUACUCUUGUUGGCAUUUUAAAAGUUGAGGUAAAAUUACCAUUCAAUAAAAUGUACAUAUCAUAGUGUUCAGCUCAAUGAGUUUUGAAUAGGCCAGGCGCAUUGACUCACUCCUGUAAUCCCAGCACUUUGGGAAGCCAAGGCAGGUGGAUCAUGAGAUCAGGAGUUCAAGACCAGCAUGACCAACAUGGUGAAACCCCGUCUCUGCUAAAGAAUACAAAAAUUAGCCAGGCGUGGUGGCACGUGCCUGUAGUCCCAGCUACUUGGGAGGCUGAGGCAGGAGAAUCGCUUGAACCUGGGAGGCGGAGGCUGCAGUGAGCCGAGAUAGCACCACUGCACUCCAGCCUGGGCGACAGAGCGAGACUCUGUCUCAAAAAGACAAAACAAAUAGAGGGCAUUUCCAGCAUCCAGAAAGUUCCCUUUCUCAUCCGUACCCCCUUCCUCAUCCAUCCUCACCCCCAGAGCAACCCUUUUCUAAUUCUGUCACCAUAAUACAUUUCGCCUACUCUCAGACUUCACAUCAGUGGAAUCACUCAGUAUGUAAUCUUUUGUGUCUUAUUUUGCUCAGCAUGAUUUUGAGAAUCAACCACAUUGUUGCAUGUAUGGACAGUUUGUUCUGUCUUAUUAUGAAGUGUUAUUUCACUAUAUAAAUAUACCAUUAUUUGUUUAUUCAUUCUCCUAUCGAUGGACAUUUAGGUUCUUUCCAGCUGGGGCUGUUAUUAAUAAGGAUGCUUUGAAUGUUCUUAUACAAGUCUUUGCAUGGACAUGUGUUUUCAUUUCUCUUGGCUACCUAUCUGAGAAUACAAUUGUUCAGUAAUAGAGUAGAUAUAUGUUUAACUUUAUUAGAAACAUGGCAUAUGUAUUUUACGUACUCCCUCUAUAAGAAAAACACAAAAACAAGACAUGUAAUUGUUGCACAAUACUGAAGUGGCCCAAGAAUUAGGGUUCCUUAAAGGAAGCCUUCUUCCACCUGUAUUGAUCAUCCAUGGUAUUGAUCAUCCAUGGCUCCUCACCAGGCAUCAUUCUUUGGGUCAGCUAGGCAGAAUGACUUGCUGCUCCCUGAGUAUGUGAUGCAGUCUCUUCCCUAUGAGUCUCCCUACUAGGUACUUCCUCUGACUGGCUGCUCUGCUCUCAUCCUUUACCUGCCCUGUCUAAUCUUAAAGACUGGAUUUAAUCAUUUUCAUCUCUGGGAGGCCUUUCAUACCACCCUCCCCAAACCCCCAUCAUCACUGUCAAGGUUGAAUUAAGUGUCUCUUCUCUGUGCUCCCAUAGAAACUCAGGUUUUUCUCUAUAACUGCUAGUCUAUUUGUCUAUCUCCACUGCUAGACUAUAAGCUCCCUAUGGGUGGAAUCCUGUUCACUGUUAUGAUCUAUUGCCUAGCAAAGUUCUUGACCCAGAAUAGGUGCCUGACAAGUAUCAAUUGAAUCCAUGAAUAAAUAGUUGAGCAGGUUUGAUGUUGUUGGCAUUGGGUGAAGUUUAUUUAUACUUUAUGAUAUUCAGGUAGAAAUAGGUUGUUAGUUGUAUAGGUCUGGAGUUCAAAUAUUGGGCUUACGGGCAGGAGGAGGACAAGAGGUAUGGAUAUGGGAACUCCCCUUACUUUCAGUCACAUUGUAUACAGGUAAGAACUGAAAGUUUGGGAUUCAAUACAAAUACUUGAGGAAAGUUUCCAGUUUUGAAGAUAAUUAAGAGAGAAUGAGAGAAGGGGCCAAAUUGCAGUAGAUUAUGGUGUAAAUGAAAAGAGAAGGGGAGAAAUGCAAACAGUAUAGACAGAUAAUUCAAGAAUUUUGGUGCUGAGAUUCCAAGUAGAGCAAUUACAAUAUGUCCCAACAAACAGAUGAGAUUGGAUAAUGUUGUUUCUUUCACUUUUAUUUUUGUUAGUUUAAGAAGGAAAAGACAGCUAAGACUAUCGAAGGACCAGUGUCAUUGGACAGAGGAAAUUCUGUGACAGGUAUGAGAAGAUACAAAUGAGACAAAUUUAGUUCAUAUAAAGUUUUUACUGAGGUCUCACACCAUUAAGUCAUGAUAUGAGUUGGUUGGUUUGUUUGUGUCAUGAAUAGGGACUGCCUGAC